rnacentral:sRNA from 1 species
UUAGCAAAGCAUAACAAUUCACCUCUAUUUGUAAUCGGGAAUAGCAAAUCCACUAUGAAACCCCAAUCUUCAUCUUCUAUAAGUGUGGCAAAGUAAUUUGGCUGUAUGUGAUAAGCUAUGAAUGCAAAUCUCACUUUUUUUUAAUUAAAAGAAAGGGAUUGAUACUGACGAAGUAGAUCAACGGAUAAGCUUAGGUUUUUUUAUGAAUCAGAGAAAUUCUUCGUCGGUGUUGAUGCGUAACAGAGGGAAGGCAAAAAUUGAACUAUGCAAUUAACUGGAAGUAGAGAUAGAAGACGAUGAAUAAAUUUGAACAGUCUGCAACAAAGAAAUUAAUAUUUUAUUUCUUAUCUCUACAUGAUGAUUGAAGGGUAGAACGGUCUAUUUCUAUAGAAGAAAGUGCCGGUUUUCGUAAGUACAUACGAAAGUUCCGGAUCUUGUAAGUUUCUUAUUUUUUUCCAUCUCUUUCUCAUAAUUAAUCCUUAUUUUAAAUCUCUCUGCAUGCAUCACCAUAUUUCUGAAACUAUAGUGUUACAAAAUUACAAUAUAUACAUAAAAAGAACAAAAUUUU